CUCGACCACAGGGUUCUUUCCUCCCCAGCGCCUUCCCAGACCUUCCUCCUCGUGGGCCAAUCCAGGUUGCGCUGGGUUCUGGGCUCAUCCGUGGGGGAGUGUGUGCAACAUCCUCACGGACCAUCGCUGCUCUGGCAGGGGCAGCCCAGCUCCGCGCUUCUUUCUGGGCUUGGGGGUGCCAUCGUGUUCAGGGUACAUGUCAGCCUCAGGGCUGCUGCCAGCUGCCUGACAGCCUGGGCUACUCCCCUGCGUGUGGGCAGUGCGGUCAGGUCUGAGGGCUGCUUCCGUACGGUGUCAGUCACAGACACGAGACAAAACAAACUGGCUGCAAAAGUCAGCUGAUGUCGUAAGGAAAGAAACUCCUCAGAUGGAGAUGGAAGAAGAGGGUGACAACGUAGCUGGGCCGUCACGAGAAAUCUCUGGGCAAGAAGCAGGAAUGAGCGCAGGGAGGGCGCAGGGAGCACCUGCGAUCCCCUCAGGGUGGUCGACGCCCAACUCUGAGGUGCUCUGGGUGGAGCUGGAAGUGAUGGCGGCUAAACCCCAACGUACAAAGGCUGUUCUCCCGGUGCACGGCUCCCAGGAGUGUGGGCACACAGGGCGUGGUCCACUCAGGAGGUUGUCCAGGGCGAGGCAGUCAACUCCGCACCUCAAGGUCGCCUCCACCAAGAAGGAAAGAGAGGAGCUGUGGUAGGCGACUCCCGUCUUAAGGGAACAGAGGGCCCUGUAUGUUGGCCAGACCCUACCCACAGGGAAGCGUGCCGCCCGCCUCCCUGUGAUGCGGGCAGGCACAUUACCAGAACAUUUCCUGGCCUGGUUCCCCCCUCUGCUCGUUAUCCCUUUCCGCCAGUUCAGGCUGGCAGUGAUGAAGUUGCUGAGGGAAGCCUAAGUGCCAUCAACAGCAUGCCAGGGGACUGGGGCACUUAGUCGAUGGAGUGAGGAUUGUUUUCCUGUGCCCGCACCUUCAGUGGCAGAGAGGGAUACUGAGAGGGCGAGGAAAACCCAUCUGUUAAAUACAUGGCUGAGAGGCUGCUGCCACUGCGGGAAUUUUGGCUUUUUUUUGUCCACGGGGAGACUCACAGAUGGGUCCCACCUGUCUCAAAGGGGGAAAUGGAUCCUCAGGAGCCGGCGGUGCUCAUUGAGAGGGCUUGAAAGUAGGUACGAAGGGGGGAG
rnacentral:lncRNA from 1 species